rnacentral:rRNA from 1 species
GACGGGGACCCGCACAAGCGGUGGAUGAUGUGGUUUAAUUCGAUGCAACGCGAAAACCUUACCCACCUUUGACAUGUACGGAACCCUUUAGAGAUAGAGGGUGCUCGAAAGAGAGCCGUAACACAGGUGCUGCAUGGCUGUCGUCAGCUCGUGUCGUGAGAUGUUGGGUUAAGUCCCGCAACGAGCGCAACCCUUGUCAUUAGUUGCUACAUUCAGUUGGGCACUCUAAUGAGACUGCCGGUGACAAGCCGGAGGAAGGUGGGGAUGACGUCAAGUCCUCAUGGCCCUUAUAGGUGGGGCUACACACGUCAUACAAUGGCUGGUACAAAGGGUUGCCAACCCGCGAGGGGGAGCCAAUCCCAUAAAGCCAGUCGUAGUCCGGAUCGUAGUCUGCAACUCGACUACGUGAAGUCGGAAUCGCUAGUAAUCGUGGAUCAGAAUGUCACGGUGAAUACGUUCCCGGGUCUU